GCGCGAUAGCUCAGUCGGUAGAGCAGUGGUCUUGUGAUCCGGUGACCCAGGUUCGAAACCAAGUCGAUGCA
rfam:Strongylocentrotus purpuratus Contig14801_fixed, whole genome shotgun sequence.